rnacentral:rRNA from 1 species
GAUGAACGCUAGCGGCAGGCCUAAUACAUGCAAGUCGAGGGGUAGAGCUAGCUUGCUAGCUUGAGACCGGCGCACGGGUGCGUAACGCGUAUGCAACCUACCCUUUUCUGGGGGAUAGCCCGGAGAAAUCCGGAUUAAUACCGCAUAAGACCACGAUACGGCAUCGUGAUGUGGUCAAACAUUUAUGGGAGAAGGAUGGGACUUCGUGCCAUUAGCUAGUUGGCGGGGUAACGGCCCACCAAGGCGACGAUGGCUAGGGGAUCUGAGAGGAUGGCCCCCCACACUGGUACUGAGACACGGACCAGACUACUACGGGAGGCAGCAGUAAGGAAUAUUGGUCAAUGGGGGCAACCCUGAACCAGCCAUGCCGCGUGCAGGACGACGGCCCUCCGGGUUGUAAACUGCUUUUGUACGGGAAUAAACCCCGCUACGUGUAGCGGGCUGAAUGUACCGUAAGAAUAAGGAUCGGCUAACUCCGUGCCAGCAGCCGCAGUAA